CUCGCCCUCCUCUUCCUUUUCCGCACCUUAGUCCAACAUCUCCUUGACAUUCCUGGACCAUAGUCCCCUGGGCUAACCAGGUUGUCCAGCUUCCCCUGGAAUUUACCUGCCACCAGUCAUCCUGGGAAAUACCUCGUUCACCAUUCCUUUGCACCCCAACUGAGACAAUAGCAGGCCAGUGGACAAAAUGUUUUAGACCAACCUCUGGGUCAUUUGUUGGAGAAAUGACUUGAAGUUACAGGUGGUGCAAGAGAGCAUCCUUGGCCAGUGAAGGAGUCCUGUGAGAGUGUCUGCGUCGUUGGCCUGGCUGCCGUCCCUGCACCUCCAUAUUGCGGGGGGGAAGCAGGGAUGGAGUGGUGAGAUGGAUCCGGGGAGAUUGGGGGCGAGGAGGUUGAAAUUUAGAUUUUUAACCCCUGGUAGCACUGCCACUAGAUGCCUCCUAGUCCUCAGUGAGAGCACCACUGCAGAGGGGAGCAGUGGCAGUGGAGGGAGGGAGGGAAGGAAGGGAGGAGGGGAUUACUGGGAAGCUUCUGUUCUCCCCUUUGUUCUUCUUUCAGCUAACCCUCCUUUGGUUGCCUCACCUCUCUAACUCUUCCUGUCUUUAUCCAUCCCUUUCCCUUUCCCUCUCCCUCCCCACCACCUCCACAACAAUGCUCUCAUUCACACAGCACCCCAACUUCUAGACCAUGACCCUCAGACCUCCCCAUAUGAUCCAGCUUCCCCUGGAAUUCACCAGCCUGCCGAGAGCCAUCUCAAAGUCAUUCCUUGGCACCACAACCCGUGAUCUCCCCCGGCCAACAGAAUACGACAAGAGAAACCCUGUUGCAAGGAAAAAAUGGUUGUAAGAGGAACAACUUGGGAAGAGAGAAGACACAUGCUUUUGAAGAAACUGGACCUGCCCGCAUCACCUGCCAGAGUCAAGAGAAGAGGAGAUGUCAGCCAGGGUUGGGCGAGGAGGGCCAAGUGGAGAGAAGCCAGUUGCACCCAAGUAUUUACUGAGCACCUGAGUUAUUUAGCCCACUGUACGAAGUGCUGGAGAGAGUACAAUACACCAAUGAAGAAGCCGUGUUUUGGGUCUGCAGCUGUCCCUGCAGCCCCAUAUUGCAGGGGGGAAGCAGGGGCAGUCUGGUGAGGGGGAACAGGGAAACUGGGUGUGAGGAGGUAGGACUGAAGGUCUGAAGCCCCCAGGAACACUGGCAUUGGGUCACCCUGAUUGUCAAUGGGAGUCCAGUUGCAGGGGGACUGUGGCAUGGUGGG